rnacentral:misc_RNA from 1 species
GAUGAAGAACGUAGCGAAAUGCGAUACGUAAUGUGAAUUGCAGAAUUCAGUGAAUCAUCGAGUCUUUGAACGCACAUUGCGCCCCCUGGUAUUCCGGGGGGCAUGCCUGUCCGAGCGUCAUUGCUGCCCUCAAGCACGGCUUGUGUGUUGGGCCUCCGUCCUCCUCCCGGGGGACGGGCCCGAAAGGCAGCGGCGGCACCGCGUCCGGUCCUCGAGCGUAUGGGGCUUCGUCACCCGCUCUUGUAGGCCCGGCCGGCGCUUGCCUACACAUCAAUCUUUUUUCCAGGUUGACCUCGGAUCAGGUAGGGAUACCCGCUGAACUUAAGCAUAUCAAUAAGCGGAGGA